rnacentral:misc_RNA from 1 species
UUUUCGCUGGUGUUUGCUUUUCAGGAUCAGUUUUACAAGACAAUAAUAAUACCUUAAGUGUCAAUGAUGUUUCUGCUUCGUCUGAAAGCCCAACCUGGGCUAUGCCAACAAAUGAUGGCUCGACUGUCUUCCACUGCAGCUAAUGCGAAGCAUGGCCUGGUGCUGGGAGUCUACAAAGACGGUGACAAGUACACGCUAACCGAGGAGGCCGGGAAGUUCAACAAAAAGACCGGCGGCCGGCUGGAUGAAAUGCUACAGUGCGCCUCAGUGACAGGGAAGCUGUCCGAGUCCCGGCUCCUGUUCGGUCUGACGCCCGAGUUCCCCGCCGUGGCCGUGGUCGGUCUCGGAGACCGCCACCGACAGGACGUGGACCACGCCGAGGACGUGCACGCCGGGCGGGAGAACGUCCGCACGGCCGUGGCCGGCGGCGUGCGGGCGCUGCGAGAAGUGCGCUGCAGUCACGUGACCGUGGAGCCGGCCGGGGAGCCGGAGGCCAGUGCCGAGGGCGCUCACCUGGCGCUGUGGGCCUACGACGAGCUCAAGGCCGAGAAGAGCCGGCAGAAGACCGUGGAACUCAGCUGCACCGAUGGAGACAGCGAGCCGUGGGGGCGCGGCGUGCACCGGGCGGCCGGCCAGAACCUGGCGCGCACUCUGAUGGAGAUGCCGGCCAACCACCUGACGCCCACACUCUUCUGCCAGCGCGUUUCUGAGACGAUGGCCGGCCUGCCGGUCGAGGUGACCGUCCGAGACGAGGCCUGGAUCCGACAGAACAACAUGGGCGCCUUCCUGAGCGUGGCGCGUGGCUCUGUAGAGCCGCCCCGGCUGCUGGAGCUCAGCUACUCGGGAGCGGCGUCCGACUCGGCGCCGCUCGCCAUAGUAGGCAAGGGCGUGACGUUCGACUCUGGCGGCAUCUCGCUGAAGCCGUCCAACAAGAUGGACAAGAUGCGUGCCGACAUGGGCGGUGCGGCCUGCACGGCCGGGGUGCUGUACGCGGCGGCGCGGCUCGGACUGGCCGCCAACCUGCGCGCCUUCAUUCCGCUCUGUGAGAACAUGCCCGGCGGACGGGCCACCAAGCCCGGAGACGUCGUCACGGCCAUGAGCGGGAAGACCAUUCAGGUGGACAAUACAGACGCCGAGGGCCGUCUGAUCCUGGUGGACGCCAUGUGGUACGCCCAGCAGGUCUGCAGGCCGAGAGCCAUGCUCGAUAUGGCCACGCUCACAGGAGCGAUGGCGGUGGCGCUGGGCUCGGGGGCCGUGGGCGUGUUUACCAACUCGACCGCCGCGUGGCGCCACCUGCGCGCCGCCGGCUCCGUAACCGGGGACCGCGUCUGGAGGAUGCCGCUCUGGAGACACUACACUAAAUCGAUGACGAAAGCGCCGCUGGCCGACUUCAACAACCAGAGCUCGGCGCGGCCGGCGGGCGGCUCCUGCACGGCCGCCGCCUUCCUGCGGGUGAGUCUGACCGCUGACCGGGCGUCUGACCGGGUGUGUCCCUCCCCCAGAGUGUGACCUGGCCGACCUGAACAACAUUGGCGGCGCCACCGGCGGCGGAUCGUGCACGGCCGCCGCCUUCCUCAAGGAGUUUGUAUCCGAGGACCUGGCGUGGCUGCACCUGGACAUUGCCGGCACCAUGGAGAACUCUGCUGACGACGUGCCCUACCUGCCCAAGGGCAUGAGCGGCCGGCCCACGCGCACCGUGCUCAAGUUCGCCGAGACGCUCUGUCGAGACGAGAGGCCCGCCACAGACUGAAACGGAACGGGCGGAGGGAAGAUAGGGGGAUGUUGAUCGCUGAGGCAUUUGUACGGAGAGUCAUGAACGUGUUUUAUAUCGUGGAACAGUCUGAAGACUCCUAUGCUACGUUCACUUUAUCUCUGCCGCGAACUGAGUAGUGAAUAUCGACUGGUCUCGAGAAUUAAAGUGAGAGUUGCGGAAGAUUUGUGUUUUGAUGACGAUGUUUGCGGUCUUUCCUUGGGCGUGAGCUUUUGUUACAGUUGUGUGAUGUGGGUCGGUUACCAACUGAGGGACUAAGAAUCUGACACAUGCUGUUUAUGUAGUGACGAGGGAUGCUCAACAGGUACCUGACAGACAAUACAAUGUUGUGUAUCUGA